rnacentral:rRNA from 1 species
CAAUUUUUUCGAGAGUUUGAUCCUGGCUCAGGAUGAACGCUGGCUGUGUGCCUAAUACAUGCAUGUCGAGCGAAGAACUUGUUCUUAGCG